rnacentral:lncRNA from 1 species
CUCUAACAAUUUAACUAUAACAACUAUUUGGUGGGAAUAAUAAUAUGAAAAAAUUUUAUGCAAUAAAAUUUCCUGUUUAAUUCAAUAAAUACUUCCUUCAUUCAUUAUAAAUGUAUUGUUACAUAACUGAAAGACUCCCCUUCUACUCAUAUAAUGUGUUACAAACACAAAAUUAUUUGAAUAAUAAAAAAAAAAAUCAGAAAUAAAAUGGUCCCAUAACCAGUGGCAAGUACUUCAUACAAUUGUAUAAAAUAAACUCAUGGUCAUAAAUAGCUUAGCUUAAUUAAGAUGAUUUUUCAGAACAUUUUAUAACAAAUGUUCACUUUUUAUAUAUAUAACAGCUAGAGCAUGUAGAGUAUUAUAUGCUAAAGGUCAUGUACAUGUAUGUAUAUUAUUUGUUAUUGACCAAUUUUAGAUCACUGCCAAAAAAUCUUGACCUUCCAUCAACUAUAAAAAUAUUCAAUGCAAGUUUUGUCUAUUUAUCAUGUUUAUGUAUGGACAUGAUGGAUAUAUAACUACUUUUCAGUACUUAUUUUUCAUUGUAUAACAUUGUAUAAAGACCAUUUAUAAUUGCUCAAUUUUUCUUGACUAUGACUUCAAAAAAUAUUUUCAUGAUUAUAGUGACUCAAUGUUUUAAAACUAAAUUCUGUGUGCAACAAAUAAAUGUUUACAUCAAAUCAGUAAAUAGCUUUGUGUUAUACAGAAAUACAGACUUAGGCUAGUCAUAUGACAUAUUCCAUACUAGCAUGACUAAUAAAUAUAUGAUUAUAAAUACAUUUGUACAUGUAUUUCAAGUAUCUAAUAGAUAAGAUGGUUCCAGGCCAGAUUAAAGUACAGGACUUCUAUCUAGAUUUCCACUUAAAUUUUCAAAGGAUUACAUGUAUAACAUAAGCCACUUCAAACCCUAAAACACACAAGCACAUGAUAAAUUUUACAAGUCAUUCAUAAAUUUUCUGAACCUGACUUUGAAUAUCCAUAUGGGAAAAAAAAACCUGCACAAGAUAUGAAUGAAUUUAAUCAGAUAUACAUUAUUUUAAAGAACGUAAAAGAUACUAAAAUUGUCAAAAGGACAUUGAGCAAUAUGUGGUUUGAUAAGGUUGUACAAAAAAAAGCCCUAAAAAAACACUUUUCACUUCAAAAAUUUGAUCAUGAACAGCAUACAUACAGCCAUAGAAAACUAAAUAAAACUUAACACUCAUUUGACAAUAAAAUGCUUUUAUGUGACUCUUAAUAAAAAAAAAAAGAUGAAGACAGGAUCUACAUAAAUAUUUGCUUGACUCAUUGAAAAAUUCAGCUUUCUUAUACAAUGUAUUUAAAGAAAAUUGUCAUGAGGGUCUGGAUUUGGGAGCCCUAGGUCCUUUAUUUUUGUUUGCCAUUUAUUCUCCUUUCUGUAUAAUUACACCUUAUGUAAGAAUCCUGGAUUCUGAUUGGUUGAUAGCAAGUGUAUUUUCACCAAUUUACUGUUAUAAAAUGAAUAUCGUCCAUUUUUUAACACCACCAGGAUAUUUGCCAAAAAAUACUCUAUUCGACUGGAUGCUUGUAACGUCACAGUCAUCAAUGCAGUUUUGAACAUUAACAUUCGGUGUAAUUAAACAGAUAUAGCAUGUUCUUGAGGGGUAUUUGCGAAAAAAUACCAGCCUUGAGAAUAAGUUUCCC